UACGGAGGGUGCGAACGUUAAUCGGAAUUACUGGGCGUAAAGCGCGCGUAGGCGGUUUUGCAAGUCGGGUGUGAAAGCCCGCAGCUCAACUGAGGAAGUGCGCCCGAAACUGCAGAGCUUGAGUGCCGGAGAGGGUGGCGGAAUUCCCCAAGUAGAGGUGAAAUUCGUAGAUAUGGGGAGGAACACCGGUGGCGAAGGCGGCCACCUGGACGGCAACUGACGCUGAGACGCGAAAGCGUGGGGAGCAAACAGG
rnacentral:rRNA from 1 species